rfam:Candidatus Harrisonbacteria bacterium RIFCSPLOWO2_02_FTLL_45_10c rifcsplowo2_02_scaffold_6914, whole genome shotgun sequence.
UGCCGGAUCGUCUAAUGGUAGGACGACAGACUCUGAAUCUGUAAAUCUUGGUUCGAUUCCAGGUCCGGCAG